GGCUAAUCCCUGAAUCACUUCCUUUUUUCCCUGGCUUUUCAGCUUUUCCAACACCAUUGUCAGGGUUCCCCACAUUAAAUUCCCUCUUUGAAGAGCUGGCAAAGGCUCGGCUUGUCUGAUUGGCCCUUGACUGAUCCUUUGUUUGAAAGCCGGCUCCACGGUAUAUGAGAAAUAAAACUUUGGGCAAGCCACUUAGCUGGCAGAGCCUCUUUACUCACCCAGAAAAGAGGGAUUUUUGAAUUAGAGACUGGGUAUAGACCAUAACAGAGGGCUUGGCACAUAGUAGGUACGUCAGAAAUGAGUCAGAAGUGACUCAUUUUUUUUUAUGGCGAGUCAUUUAGGAAGAGAGUAAGAACUUCUCAAGAGAGGAACCUGGUCUUUUUCUUUUUUCUUUUCAUUUAAUUUAUUAAUGUUUAUUUUUAUUUUACGGAGCAUAGUUGAUUUACAAUGUGUUUCAGGUGUCCAGCAAAGUGAAACUGUUAUACCUAUACAUUAAUUGAUUCUUUUUCAGAUUCUUUUCCCAUGUAAGUUAUUAAUAACAUUGAAUACAGUUCCCUGUGCUGUACAGUGGUCCUUGCUGGUUACCUAUUUUAAAUAUAGUACAGUAUGUAUAUUAAUCCCAACCUCCCAAUUUAUCUCUUGCCCCCACAUUUCCCUUUGAUAACCAUACGUUUUAGAAAUCUCUUGUCUUAUUACUUGUCACCUCCUAGCAGGAUGCCACACAUUUAAUAAAGUAAGUAGACUUAAUAAAGCGUUUUUGUUUUUUUGCUUUUUAGAGCCAUACCCGUCGCAUAUGGAAGUGCCCAGGCUAGAGGUCAAAUCCAAGCUGCAGCUGCCAGCCUAUGCCGCAGCCAUAGCAAUGCCGGAUCCUUAAGCCGCUGAGCAAGGCCAGGGAUCGAACCCGCAUCCUCAUGGAUACUAGUUGGGUUUGUAACCCACUGAGCCACAAUGGGAACUCCUAAAGUUUUAUACACACGCACUUCUCAACGGCGUGGGUUAGAUGGAUUGAGGGACUCUGCCAACUUCACUGCAGUUACUCUAAGAUUCUUAAAGGAAGAUUCAAAAAGAGUUUCUUGGUGAAUUUUCUAGUGCAAAUAUGUCACUAUUUUCACUUUGGAAGCCCACUUUUAAAUGAUAAUUAUCAUAAAGUUCCUAAGUGGAAAAUACCACAGGAACCUUUGAAAGUACUUACUAGAGGAGCGAGCAGCAUCAGUUUUCUCUCUCUCUUUUUUUUGGGGGGUGGGGGGCGGUCUCUGUUUCCUCUGCUUCUCCAAAUUGGCUGUUCCAAGUUGAAUCCCUUGGCAGUUCUCAGCCAUCCUGGCUGCACCCCUGGGCACGCACAGACUGUUCCCUGCAUCAGGACUCUUGCACGAGUGGCCACAUGUUCCUCGCUGAGGGAUGAGGGAUCACAAGGUUUCAUUUGUCACACUCGCUAAGACUGCAGAACCUCUGGUGGGCUUGUCAAACAUGAGGAAAUCCCUACGUGUAAAUAUUUAUGGAUUAGGAAUCAAAUGCUAAAUAUUUACUUCAGCUUCUUGGAAUUAUAAAUGAUUUAACAAACCCAAUGGGGAGUCGGAAUGGCUUUGCUUUAGAACCAGCCCAUGUAUUUGUUUCCACUCCCUUAGGGUGUAGCAUGCGGGCGAUGCCCGCGGAAUACAUGGAGAGCCCAGCUUUUAAGUUGGGGUUUGAUUCCUUCUCCUCCUCUUCUUCUUCUUCUUUUUUUUUUGGCUUUUUUAGGGCCAGACCUACAGCAUAUGGAGGUUCCCAGGCUCGGGGUCCAGUUAGAGCUGUAGUUGCCUGCCUCAGCCAUAACCGUGGGGGAUCCGAGCCACAUCUGCGACCUCCGCCACAGCUCAUGGCAACACCGGAUCAUUAACCCACUGAGCUGGGCCAGGGAUCAAACCUGUGUCCUCAUGGAUACUAGGUGGGUUUGCUAACCGCUGAGCCAUGAUGGGAACUCCUGGUUCAUUCUUCUGAUUUUGCCUUCUGUGUUACAUGAUCUGUGUUUUGGAGGGGGCACACAUGCAGGACUGUGAGAGUGAAAACCCCAUCCUUCAAUGCCAUUGUCCUCAACCACACUGUGCAACACAACCAUCUGUAGUGUUUAUCAGAAAAGACAGAUGCCAUGGCCCUUCCUCUGGUCCAGUGAGUGGGCGUCUCUGCAGGUAGAGCCUGGGCAUACGUGUGCAUCAGAGCUUCCAUNGGCCAGACCUACAGCAUAUGGAGAGCUUCCACUCAACCUCGGGAGGUAUCUCUCUAGGGAGGCUGCCUGUGGGAGAAGCAGGGCAUCACAGAGGGCAGAAAGCCUUGGGAAUAAGAUGGGCCUGGAUCUGAAUCUCAUCUCUGCUGAUGAAUAGCUGCGUACCUUGGAAAAAAACCCCUUCCUCUCUCAACUUCAAUUUCCUUGUCUUUAUAACAGGGAUAAAAAUGACUCUCUGUAUUAGGUUCCUGAGGCUGCUUUAAAAAUUGCCCACAAACUUAGUGGCUUUAAAAAACAACAAAGGUGGUCCUUGGUGGCUCAGUGGGUUAAGGAUUUGGUGUUGUCACUAUUGUGACACAAGUUCAUUCCCCACCCUAGGAACUUCUACAUGCUGCGGGUGCAGCAAAAAAAAAAAAAAAAAAAAAAAAAAAAA
rnacentral:lncRNA from 1 species